rnacentral:lncRNA from 1 species
AUGUGCAGCACCUGCCAGAAUGACUCCCUUAUCUUCAGCUGGAACCUAAGACAAAGAAAAGAAUUUGCUGUAAUGAGCCACUUAUGGAGAAUUUCAUCUCGAUAUUUGCAGCGCUAGCACAGCAUCACAGUCAGCAUCACAACUUUUCUACCAGAGUUAAGGAGAGCACCCAGAGGAGGAUGGGAGCCUUGAGGUCCUGCUUCCAUAUUACACGUGUGGGACUGCAGCAGCUGAAAGCAGGGCUGGGGGAUUCCUCGUGUGCAUCCAUCAUCUCUAAAUGCCUCUCUGCAUCCUGGUCUGAAUUCAGCAGCAAGUACAAGCAGCCUGGCUCGCCGACAGCAGGUUGGACUUCCCUGGCAGUCGGGGCUUGCGGGCAAGCUCUUCCCAGCUCAAAAAUGAGACUUAAGCCAGGUCUUGAGCCUGUGUUCAGAGGGAGUAUAGGGCGCACAGCACCUUGCAGGAUGGGGCCCACCACUGUGCUCUGUGUAGUUCUCCCCUUCCCCCUCCCCAGCUCUGCUUUAGCAAUAACCUACUUUCUUGCUUUGUGGAAAGAACAGCUUGGAUUACGUUGCUACAAAUGA